rnacentral:rRNA from 1 species
UACGAAGGGGGCAAGCGUUGCUCGGAAUUAUUGGGCGUAAAGAGCGUGUAGGCGGCUCGAUAAGUCUGCUGUGAAAGUCCAGGGCUCAACCCUGGAAGGCCGGUGGAAACUGUCGGGCUAGAGUCCGGAAGAGGCGAGUGGAAUUCCCGGUGUAGCGGUGAAAUGCGCAGAUAUCGGGAGGAACACCAAUGGCGAAGGCAGCUCGCUGGGACGGUACUGACGCUGAGACGCGAAAGCGUGGGGAGCAAACAGG